CCUGCUGUCAGCACAUCACUGCCUGGAGCGCUCUCCAAAUUCCCUCUGAGAAGGAGGAUAGCAUGGCACAUACAGCAAUGGAUUUUUGCAAGACUGAACUGUACACACGCUCAACCUGGGGGAAUUUCUGAAAGUUGCUUUUCUUUUUUUUUUUUUCUUUAACUAUCUAUUGAGGAGAUGAGGUCCAGACUCCAGCCAGAAUCAAGGGUAGAGCUGGAAACAGGAGAAACAAAGUUCUUGUGAAAUUUUCAGACAAAUUUUGGAAGCCCACACAGCCUACACUGGUUGGACAAGCUUCAAAAUAAGUACACGCUUCUCAAAGCUUUGAUGCAUCUGGACCUUGUGGGAUUUCUGCCGUUGAAGGUCAGCUUCGCUACACCCACACCACCACUCAAAAUUAUAGAGAACUGUUCAUGGGACAUCACAUCCUCUGAGGUCUCCCCUGCCUGUCCUACAGCUCAGGGUGAAUUGUGGCCAUCACAUCCCACACUCCUUCCUGCCUGGUUCACUGCCGUCACCACCAUCGCUUGCUUUCCUCCCCCAAACCUGUCAUUCUCUUGCCUCUUUGCACAUUUCUUCAUGUCAGGUCUUUGGCUUGGAAACGACUUCUCCUGUGAGCCAAACCUCCUUAUUCUACACUUUAAAAUCCUUAUGAAAUUUGGCUUGCCUUCCAAAACUAAGCCUCAGCUCCCUUGUUACUCUUCUAAAUAUAAAACAUUUUUAUUACAUUAAGCUAUGCUGAAAAAAAGUAGGAAAAAGAAUAAGAAAAAAAGGAAAAUCCCUGCACUAAAUGUGAAGAAAGUGUUCAGCAUAGCAGCAGAUCACGUCGUUUUGUUUUGUCUUGGUAUCAUCUUGUUUGCACAUGCUCUGGGCUCACUGUCUGUAUUCCUCCUUGUGUGCCUCCUGCACUGAAAAGCCCCCUAACAGUUGCAACAAGAGGAGUGGUUGCCAGGCUUAACUGGAGAGUUCUGGAAAUGGGAAAAGCUGCCCCAUUAUCGAUCGUGCUGCACUACUAGUCCUAAAGAUAAACUUGUAUCCUAGGGUAUUCACUUAGCACCUUUCAGCUACAUUAAACUUCACUUUCUUAUACAACCGAAGGCAAGUUUGAAAUUAGUUAUUUAUAUUUUUACAGGUCCAUUUUGUUCAUUAUUUCCAAUGUAAUUUUAAUCAUUUCAACAAAGAA